rnacentral:rRNA from 1 species
AAGCGGCAACAGCUCAAAUUUGAAAUCUGGCUCUUUCAGAGUCCGAGUUGUAAUUUGCAGAGGGCGCUUUGGCUUUGGCAGCGGUCCAAGUUCCUUGGAACAGGACGUCACAGAGGGUGAGAAUCCCGUACGUGGUCGCUAGCUAUUGCCGUGUAAAGCCCCUUCGACGAGUCGAGUUGUUUGGGAAUGCAGCUCUAAAUGGGAGGUAAAUUUCUUCUAAAGCUAAAUAUUGGCCAGAGACCGAUAGCGCACAAGUAGAGUGAUCGAAAGAUGAAAAGCACUUUGGAAAGAGAGUCAAACAGCACGUGAAAUUGUUGAAAGGGAAGCGCUUGCAGCCAGACUUGCUUGCAGUUGCUCAUCCGGGCUUUUGCCCGGUGCACUCUUCUGUAGGCAGGCCAGCAUCAGUUUGGGCGGUGGGAUAAAGGUCUCUGUCACGUACCUCUCUUCGGGGAGGCCUUAUAGGGGAGACGACAUACCACCAGCCUAGACUGAGGUCCGCGCAUCUGCUAGGAUGCUGGCGUAAUGGCUGUAAGCGGCCCGUCUUGAAACACGGACCAAGGAGUCUAACAUCUAUGCGAGUGUUUGGGUGUCAAGCCCGAGCGCGUAAUGAAAGUGAACGGAGGUGGGAACCCGCAAGGGUGCACCAUCGACCGAUCCUGAAGUUUACGGAAGGAUUUGAGUAAGAGCAUGGCUGUUGGGACCCGAAAGAUGGUGAACUAUGCUUGAAUAGGGUGAAGCCAGAGGAAACUCUGGUGGAGGCUCGCAGCGGUUCUGACGUGCAAAUCGAUCG